rnacentral:piRNA from 1 species
AGUUCCUCUGGAUGGUCAGGAUAGC